UGGGGAAUAUUGCACAAUGGGCGCAAGCCUGAUGCAGCCAUGCCGCGUGUGUGAAGAAGGCCUUCGGGUUGUAAAGCACUUUCAGCGGGGAGGAAGGCGUUAAGGUUAAUAACCUUGGCGAUUGACGUUACCCGCAGAAGAAGCACCGGCUAACUCCGUGCCAGCAGCCGCGGUAAUACGGAGGGUGCAAGCGUUAAUCGGAAUUACUGGGCGUAAAGCGCACGCAGGCGGUCUGUCAAGUCGGAUGUGAAAUCCCCGGGCUCAACCUGGGAACUGCAUUCGAAACUGGCAGGCUAGAGUCUUGUAGAGGGGGGUAGAAUUCCAGGUGUAGCGGUGAAAUGCGUAGAGAUCUGGAGGAAUACCGGUGGCGAAGGCGGCCCCCUGGACAAAGACUGACGCUCAGGUGCGAAAGCGUGGGGAGCGAACAGG
rnacentral:rRNA from 1 species